AAUGAACGCUGGCGGCGCGCCUAACACAUGCAAGUCGAACGGCACCUGCCUUCGGGCAGAAGCGAGUGGCGAACGGCUGAGUAACACGUGGAGAACCUGCCCCCUCCCCCGGGAUAGCCGCCCGAAAGGACGGGUAAUACCGGAUACCCCGGGGUGCCGCAUGGCACCCCGGCUAAAGCCCCGACGGGAGGGGAUGGCUCCGCGGCCCAUCAGGUAGACGGCGGGGUGACGGCCCACCGUGCCGACAACGGGUAGCCGGGUUGAGAGACCGACCGGCCAGAUUGGGACUGAGACACGGCCCAGACUCCUACGGGAGGCAGCAGUGGGGAAUCUUGCGCAAUGGGGGGAACCCUGACGCAGCGACGCCGCGUGCGGGACGGAGGCCUUCGGGUCGUAAACCGCUUUCAGCAGGGAAGAGUCAAGACUGUACC
rnacentral:rRNA from 1 species